AAUGCACCAAUUUGUAAGUCGCUCUGGAUAAGAACAUCUGCUAAAUGACUUAAA
rfam:Salmo salar isolate Sally breed double haploid chromosome ssa10, whole genome shotgun sequence.